AUUGAACGCUGGCGGCAGGCCUAACACAUGCAAGUCGAACGAGUGGCGGACGGGUGAGUAAUGUCUGGGAAACUGCCUGAUGGAGGGGGAUAACUACUGGAAACGGUAGCUAAUACCGCAUACAUCCGAUGUACCCAGAUGGGAUUAGCUUUUGGGUGGGGGAACGGCUCACCAUGGCGACGAACCCUAGCUGGUCUGAGAGGAUGACCAGCCACACUGGAACUGAGACACGGUCCAGACUCCUACGGGAGGCAGCAGUGGGGAAUAUUGCACAAUGGGCGCAAGCCUGAUGCAGCCAUGCCGCGUGUAUGAAGAAGGCCUUCGGGUUGUAAAGUACUUUCAGCGGGGAGGCGUUACCCGCAGAAGAAGCACCGGCUAACUCCGUGCCAGCAGCCGCGGUAAUUC
rnacentral:rRNA from 1 species